GCGGAGGAAAAGAAACCAACAGGGAUUGCCUCAGUAACGGCGAGUGAAGCGGCAACAGCUCAAAUUUGAAAUCUGGUCCCCUCUGGGGGCCCGAGUUGUAAUUUGAAGAGGAUGCUUUUGGCGAGGCGCCUUCCGAGUGCCCUGGAACGGGACGCCACAGAGGGUGAGAGCCCCGUAUGGUAGGACGCCGAGCCUCUGUAAAGCUCCUUCGACGAGUCGAGUAGUUUGGGAAUGCUGCUCAAAAUGGGAGGUAAACCCCUUCUAAAGCUAAAUAUUGGCCAGAGACCGAUAGCGCACAAGUAGAGUGAUCGAAAGAUGAAAAGCACUUUGAAAAGAGAGUUAAACAGCACGUGAAAUUGUUGAAAGGGAAGCGCUUGCGACCAGACUUGCGCCCGUCGGAUCAACCGUCCCUCGUGGGCGGCGCACUCCGGCGGGCUCAGGCCAGCAUCAGUUUUCCUGGGGGGAGAAAGGCGGUGGGAAUGUAGCUCUUCGGAGUGUUAUAGCCCGCCGCGUAAUGCCCUCGGGGGGACUGAGGACCGCGCGUAUGCAAGGAUGCUGGCGUAAUGGUCGUCAGCGACCCGUCUUGAAACACGGACCAAGGAGUCGUCCUAAUAUGCGAGUGUACGGGUGUAAAACCCCUGCGCGUAAUGAAAGUGAACGGAGGUGAGAGCUUCGGCGCAUCAUCGACCGAUCCUGAUGUUCUCGGAUGGAUUUGAGUAAGAGCAUAUUGGGCCGGACCCGAAAGAAGGUGAACUAUGCCUGUAUAGGGUGAAGCCAGAGGAAACUCUGGUGGAGGCUCGCAGCGGUUCUGACGUGCAAAUCGAUCGYCAAAUAUGGGCAUGGGGGCGAAAGACUAAUCGAACCUUCUAGUAGCUGGUU
rnacentral:sRNA from 1 species